AGGAAUUCAGAUGGAAAGAUUAUUCUGUGUUAUGCUGGGCCGUGGGAAUUUCCUCAAGUGGAGUUGUUGGUAACACUGUUGCUAAGAGAGAGUAUGCACCCUUUAUAAGCGGAUGGACGUGUUGAUGGUGCAGAUAUGCAUGGUUUUCAUGGAGGACUCAUACAUCACAUGAGUAAGAUGGGCUGCGACGUCAAAUCUUCCCAAUUAAGUAUAUGUGCUUGCCUCUUAUCAACGACAACUCCCCUAGUUUCUUUUGGGAUCCCCUCGUUCAGAGAGCCCAAGUCAAACUCGAUGGGUGGAAAGCGAGAUUCUUGUCUUUCGCAGGAAUGUCAGUUCUCAUAAAAGCAACAAUUUCUGACCCCUGCAACACCAUGAGAACCUGUCAUCGGUGGGUCGAGUGUGCCCACUUAAGGAAGAUCAUCCCUAGACAUUUUAAAGUGGGCAACAUAGUACAUGAAAAAGAUAUUA